GCCGAAAAUCUCACGAUGGAACGGAAAAUUUCCUAAUCGUUUCAGAGAACAGUUCGAGAUGCCUGAAAAACGGUCCCGAAAAAACACGCAGCUGAUUCAGAAUUCCUGCUUCCGAAGGAUGAGGAGCAAAUUUGGUAUCGGCUCUCACAUAUUCCAUCACGACCAACUGAGCUAGUAGGCCAGAGAAAGUCAUUAUGACAGGAAUCCAAAACAACCGAUGACCAAGCUUCUGGAUAUUUCCCCAACCGGUCAUGAAAGUGCGUGUAGUCGGUUGUGCGCGAAGACAUCGUUCCUUAUCUGAAGUCAAAGGAACCCUCAGAUCCUUCUCUCGAUCCAACACUCGACUAAUCCAACACUCCAGACCAGCAUGAAGGGCUUCCCCAGGACAUGGGAAGACGUUAAGUUGAGCCGAAAUACGAUAGAUAUCAGGCCACGGAGCAGGCGGAAGAAAAAAUAAAUAGACUGCUACAAAGCACCAAAAUGGAAUACGCAGCGUAGCCCGGUAUUUUCCAUGAAAAGCCGGACGUGUGGCUGGACAUCCUCCAGGAUCCGAAAAGCAACCAUCAGGAGACUAACCGAGUCGGCCGAGAUGGCCAACACUUUCGUUGGAACACGUUUUGGACCAGAUCAUAUUCAAAAGCUCAUUCGGGAACACAGUUCAGGUGUAUGCAGAAAAAUUUUGAUAGUCUGCCAAUGAAGAUACCUGCACCUGGACAAGCAAGGCAUCAGGAACCCGCUUCAUCUGUUUCGUGAUGUCAGAUUGUUCGGGUAUCACGACAACUAAUCUAAUCAAACAAUUUCCCUAAAC